rnacentral:rRNA from 1 species
CAGGAUGAACGCUGGCGGCGUGCCUAACACAUGCAAGUCGAGCGAGAAGCUCUCAGUUGAUCUUCGGAUGAACAGAGUGCGGAAAGCGGCGACGGGUGAGUAACGCGUAGGCAACCUGCCCCUUGCAGAGGGAUAGCCUCGGGAAACCGGGAUUAAAACCUCAUAAUGCAUCGAGGAGACAUCUUCGAUGAUGCCAAAGAUUUAUCGGCAAGGGAUGGGGCCUGCGUCUGAUUAGUUAGUUGGUGGGGUAACGGCCUACCAAGGCGACGAUCAGUAGCCGACCUGAGAGGGUGAUCGGCCACAUUGGAACUGAGACACGGUCCAAACUCCUACGGGAGGCAGCAGUGGGGAAUAUUGCACAAUGGGCGAAAGCCCUGAUGCAGCAACGCCGCGUGAAGGAAGAAGGCCCUUGGGUCGUAAACUUCUGUUCUAAGGGAAGAUAAUGACGGUACCUUAGGAGCAAGUCCCGGCUAACUACGUGCCAGCCGCUGC